AAUCAUUUUCAUGGUGAUACAUCAGCCCGAACGAAUCGAGGUAAACACUGGCUCAAACAACUUUCUUAUCCGAAACUCACG
rnacentral:ncRNA from 1 species